AUUCUACCAAAGUUAAUCACUCGGAACUUUGGAUUGCAUUUGUUGUUUUUUGUGGGUUUUUUUGUGGGGUUUUUUGUUUUUUGUUUUGAGACAGAGAUAAAUGAAGAUGGGGAUGUGUUUGGAGAGUAAAUCUGAUAUUCAGUGUAUCACACUCAAGGAAUUGGCUCUGUUUCUGUAAAUGCUCUACUCUUUGCCCCAUCAGCAUGCAUGCACUAGUAAAACAAAUGAACAUAUGCCAUUCUCAGUUGGAGAACAAAAUUAGCCAAAAUACAGGAGUAACAUAAAAAGCUUUUUCAAAAAUUAUGCUGCCACCCAAUUUAAAAGGAUUAAAUCAACAAAUCAAAGUAGUAGAUCAUUGCCUUCUUAGUACUUUGUAUUCAUUUGGAAGUGUAGGAUUCCAGGGGUGCCUGGGGGGCUUAGUUGGUUAAACAUCCAACUCUUGAUUUAGGCUAAGGUCAUGACAUCACUGUUUGCAAGUUCAAGCCCUGCAUCAGGCUCUGCGCUGACAGUGCAAAGCCUGCUUGGGAUUCUUUCUCUUUCCCUCUCUGCCCCUCCCCCACUCGUGCACGCAUGCUUUCUCUCUCUCUCUCUCUCUUUCUCUUUCUGUGUCUCUCUCAAAAAGUAAACUAAAAAAAAAAAACAGUGUUUCUUCUGCAAGUAUAGGAUUUUAAACAGUUUGAUUCAAUGCAAUCACGUAAUAUAGAAAUACUAAAAAAUAACAUUCUUGAUCCAAAUUUGAACUGGCACCUAGAAAAUUAGAUAAAAGUCUCUAUUUAAAUAUGUCUUGAGACCAUUAGUAUUAGCAACAUGAACUUUUCCUGCAGGGAAUUUGUUCAGAGUAAUAUUCUGUGAUAGCCAUUUUACUAAAGGGUUAUUCCUACCCCCAACACACAUACCCAAACAACCUAAAUUUAAAUAGAAAUAUGAGUACUUGUAAUAAUAAAGUAUAGAUUUAAUCUAUCUAAAUUCUCUUUGUGGUUGUAGUUUUGAUGAUUGAGUUUAUUUAAAGAACAUGUAGGGGCGCCUGGGUGGCUCAGUUGGUUAAGGGUCCGACUUCGGCUCAGGUCAUGAUCUCGCAGUUUGUGAGUUCAAGCCCUACGUCGGGCUCUGUGCUGACAGCUCAGAGCCUGGAGCCUGCAUUGGAUUCUAUGUCUCCCUCUCUCUCUGCCCCUCCCCCGCUCAUGCUCUGUCUCUCUCUGUCUCAAAAUAACAAAACAUUAAAGAACGUGUAGACCUUGUCAGAUAGUUAAUAUGAGAAGUGACCUUUGUCUAUAUUUUUAAGGCAGACUAAUUUGAAUAAUUCCAAAUAUUCUUGUUUGCUACUUUUUGUUAAUAAUUGUUUUCUGUCUAGGCAGUUCGGUGAAGCUUUGAAUAUUACUCUUUGCAAAAUGAUAUAUGAAAGUUAAAACCUCUUUAAAAGUCAGUAGAAAUUAGAAUUACAUUUUGAGCUGGUAACAUGAGGAAAGGUGAGGAAAGAGAAGUAUAGAAUCAUUCAGAAAAAAAGAACACAAAAAACCCCCCACAGCAAUGCAAAGCUUUAAAGUAGGGAAAACUUGGGCACCUGGGUGCCUCAGUCAGUUAAGCAUCUGACUUUCAAUUUGACUCAGGUCACGAUCUCACGGUUUGCGAGAUCGAGCCCUGAGUUGAGCGCCAUGCUGACAACAUGGAGCCUAUUUGGGAUUCUCUCUCUCUCUCUCUCUCUCUCUCUCUCUCUCUCUUUCUCUGCCCCUCCCUGUGCAAAUUCUCUCUCAAAAUAAAUAAACUUUAAAAACUUAAAUGAAUAAAAUAAGGAAAACUUAAGUGAUGUGUGGAAGAGAAGUCUCAAGGGCUAAAAACACACCUCUAGAUUCAUGGAUGAAAGAAAACCCGAGGUGAUUUUGAUGCCCAUAAUCCACAGAGCCCCAGAUGACGGAAGCAAGUGGUGCAGAAUCACCAGUACAAAAAAAGCCAAGCCAACACACCCUGGCCAGUGAUCUGUAUGUUGAGCCAGAGGGGAAUAGGAAGUGAAUUAGGAACACACAGAAGGGACGUUCAGUGAGCUCAGUGAGUCCAUGGUGACAGCAGUUUUGAAAGGGGCUCAGCUGCAUGCCCAGUAUCCAGCUGACGGAUCUGGAAGGUCUUCUCAGGCCUGAUGAGCUAUAAAAUGAGGACAAAUGACUCAGGGGCAAAAUCUCCAUUGACCAAAGACUGCUUUUUGUCAUGAUGAACGUGGUCCGAGUUUUCAGUAGCACUUCUGGCUGGAUAAACGUACCAGCACAUUUGGUGUUUUCCUCUGUUGGUUCUUUUGAAUUCUCAGGAAAAAACUCCCUCCUACAGUUCAUUCCUUCCAAUCUGAGAAGAGCAGAAGAGGAAUACCUCCUGCUUCUAAACUACAUGACAUUUAGAAAUGUGCACUGAGAAAAGUGCCAGAUUGCGUUGGAUUAUAAAUAUUCGAGCUGAUGUGUUUGGAGCCACCUGGCCUCACUUUCCCCACUGCCUCUGCCCCCACUGCUCUCCAGCCUGGGGCCUUUACACCACUUGUCAGCUCACCUGUUUAUGAUUAAUCUGUUCUUCCUUCUCCUGUCCUUUCUGUUCACUUGAAAUGCCUUGACCCUUCCUCUGCAGUGGCCUGCAACCCUUUAUUCCUCCAGACACUGUUAAAAAUUUACUUCUUUUGGAAACGUUUACAAGCUAAUCCCACCUGCCUCCAAUUUCUCCAGAACUUUAUGAUUGCCUAUAAGGACUGUUUCUCACCUAAGCACCAUAUGCUUGCCUUUGUGUAAGAGAUAAUGUUAAGAGGAUUGUCCCGCCCCUGCCGUCUAUGGCUUCAGGUCAGGGGUCCUCCCAUUUUGUGUAAACCCCCACCCAGCAUAAGGACCUAAUGUAGAGGGCGUGCUGUCACUGCUCGGUCACUGUUCAUUCAUUUGUUGGCCUCCACAAUUGUGUAGAGACUUGGUAAAGAGACUUGGUUCCCACACUCGAGGAACCUACAUUCAGAGAUAGCAUGUUACACAUGGAUACACGCUUUCAGCAGAUUCUUGUUGCCCUCAGAAUGGAAUGGUCUUUACCUUGGCCUGUUAUUCUGUCCCCUCCGUUCACUGUGCACCACAGAAGACUCCUGCCAUCAGCUCUAGUGGUUGACUGGAAUGGCCAGCCCUGUAUUCUGUUCUUCCUGCCUGGAGACCCCUUGUCUUAGCUCUCAAUGUUAUUCUUGUCCCACGCCAGGUACCUUCUCUUCCUUUGGCUUCCAGCCUAACUAUUGCCUAUCUUUAAUGGGGCUUUCCAUGAUUAUUUCAUUCUAAAGUAGGUCACUCCUGAUAUUCUGUUGCUUAGAUUCAGUUCUUUCCUUGUGUGGCACUUGUCAUAAUUCUUGAUAUUCUAUUUAUUAACUUACUUACUGCCUGUCUCUCUAAAUGAGCUAAGUUUUCAUGUGAGGGAUGAGUCUGUUUUCUUCUCUACCUGCAGCCUCAUUCAACUUCUGGCACAGAGCAGUCUCCUAGGAUAUACAGAGGGAAUGAUUUGAGUAUAGAAGUUACAGGAGUAAGGGUGCCUGGGUGGCCCAGUUGAUUAGGCGUCUGACUCUUGAUUUGGGCUCAGGUCAUGAUCUCAUGGUUCAUGGGAUUGAGCCCCAAGUCAGGCUCUGCGCUGACACCAUGGAACCCGCUUGGGGUUCUCUCUCUCUCCCUCUCUCUCUGCUCCUCCCCCACGCACGUGCUGUUUCUCUCUCUCAAAUAAAUAAACUUUUAAAAAUAAUAAAAAUAUAAGAGUUACAAGAGUAUACCAGAAAGCUGGUGUAAGAGGAUUUAUGGCAGCACUUCUUACUGUUAAAAUUUGUUUAAUUUUGGCAUAUUCCUAAAGGUGAUACGAUAUUGCAGCAAACAUCAGCAAUCUGAUGACCCUCGGGACUGUAAAGUUGAAUGAACAAAAACAAGUGGAGAAGAAUAUAGUACAGUUUGAUUCUAUUUAUUUAUAGUUCGAAAUAAUGAAAAAAUAAAUGCUGCAUGAUUUGGGGAUACAUAUACUUUUGAAAACUGAAAGCAAAAUGCAAAGAUUAGCUGUUCUCCCUGUGAUCACGAGGGGAGGCAAUUAAGGACAUUUCCCAAGGCAUUUUCAAGAUCCCAGUAACAGUCUCUUUCUUUAGCUGUGUAACGGAUUAACGGGGAUUGGUUCUACUAUUCUUCUUUAGGCCAAACAUGUGUAUUAUACAUACUCUUUUGUAUUCUUAGUUAAUUUUUUUUUGUAAUAGGCAGUAACAGAGAAGCCAAAGGAAAGUGGUGUCAGAAGAGGGAGAGAUACCCUUUGUCAUGAUGAACAAGGCAGGCUUCCUUGACUAGCAAGCAUAUAAGCCAGGCCUUAGAAGCCACACAGGAUUUAGGCAUGUGGCUAUUUAUCAGGGGUAGGGAGGAAGGGACUUCUAUGCAUAAGCAUCAAAGGUGUGGAUGGAGUUUAGGGAACAUAAUGGAGUCUAAAUGGAAUAGGUUAUGAGCUAUCCAUUCAGUAUUUGGAAAUGUCCUUAAAGUCAGUUUGGGUCCACAUGGAAGGUCACUUUUUUUUCAUGAAACCUUUUCUGAUUCCUUUGGUUGUUUGUCCCUCAUGUUUUCAAAAUGUUACAUUUAGUGUUUGGUUUUUAUAGAGUAGGGUGCUGUCAGACCAUUUUCUGUUUUGUGGGACCUAGGAGAUAGGCCCAGAUUAGAUAACAUCUAAGGCAGAAGGAAGGAUCAAGUGAACAGGGACAAGUACAUAGUUCAGGCAAAAGAUCAUGGGUGCUGAACCAGCAGGUGGUGGUAGCAGGAGAGAAGAGGGAGAAGAGGGAUUUGUAAGGAGGAGGGAAAACUGAUGACUGGGGGGAUUUGCUAGUUGAUAACUGGCAGAGGGUGAAAGGGAGAGAGUGUCAGGGCAUUUCAGGGUUUGCAGAGUCAUGGUCUAUAGAAGGUACUGACACCAUUACUGGAUUUCAGUGUAACGGGAACUCAAGAUCUUUAUUUGCAACAUACUGAGAUGGAGGUCCCCGAAAGAGAAUAGUAUAGCUCUAAUUGGGAGCAGAACAGCAGGCGUGUGGGUCAGGAGUUUAGGUAGGAGAUCAGGAUGGAAACCAGAGUGUGGAGCCAUCCAGAGAGAAGGCAGUAACUGAAGUAAUGAAAAGUAAGUGAGGGUAUCAGGGUUACAGAGUGAAGCAGCUGAUACAAGUCCUUGAGUGCCACCUGUCCUUCUAAGAUAUCUGAGGAAGAGAGGGUAGGAGAGGUGCUAAGAAGGAAUGGUCAGGUGCCUGGGUGACUCCGACAGUUAAGCAUCUGAGUCUUGAUUUCAGCUCAGGUCAUGAUCUCACGUUAAUGAGUUCAAACCGUGCAUCAGGCUCUGCACUUGGGAUUCUCUGUCUCUCUCUCGUGUUCUGUCUCUCUCUUUCUCUCUGUCCCUGCCCCUUCCCUGCUUGUGCUUGCUCUCUCUCUCAGAAUAAAUAAAUAAACUUAAAAAGAAAGAAGGAAUGGUCAAAGAUUCCAAGAACACGGGAAGAGUUACGGAAGCCCAAGGUCAGGUGCUGAACUGUGUGUUUUUGCAGAACCGGAGAAGUAUGAUCCAUUUCCAUUCGAUCCCCUGUGCCUCAUAUGGGGGAUUAAAAAAAAAAAGUCCGAAAGUUGGUUAGAAAAUGAUUCUGCUGUUUGUUUUAUUUGCCACAUGACUGAGCUGUCAUUUGUCUCCCUUGGAAAGGAGAAAAUCAUAAUUUUGUGCAAUUUAAAUGUAGUCAGUUUUUUAAAGGAACCUAAGUGUGACACAUUUCAGGAAGAUGUAUGGCCUGGCUUAGGCACUAAGGCAAAGUGUCAAAGUAAAUCACUAAAAAUUGAAGACAUGAUAGUCUGUGGGAUGUGGCACAUUACUGUCGCAGCUACAAAGUGUGUUACAAAGGAGGCUUUUCUAGAAGAAAUGCAAAGGCAGCGCGAUCCAGGAAGUGGUCUUUUGGAAUUUGGUCUAGUGUCACUUUAUUGCCAUGUGUGGAUACAAUAGCAGUGCUGUGUUGCUGGCAUAAUUAGUGUUGGAAUUGAGAAAACUCAGAGCAUUUUGGCAGUGUUUGAAUAUAUUUAUUUGUAUCUGUGUGAAAUUAUAGUUCUGUAGCUGCCGUCAUUCAGCACUUCUCUUUGUCAAAUACUAUGAAGAAUGAAUUUGAAUUUUGCUCCUGCCCUCUGGAAGUUUAUAAUUGAAAAUAGUGUAUGCUGCCAAAAAGUGGGAUGAAAAUGACAUUGAAGAUUCUAGAUGGUUCUUAGUCUUCUUUCUGAUACCAUCUCUCACUAACUCAUGUAAAACUUACAUAAGUUAUUUUUAUAAUUAGUUGACAUUUUACCAAUAAUAUAUUUGACAUUGGAAACAAAUGGAUUGACCUACUAUCCAGACUUGUGAGUUUUAUAUUUGUUCUUUCUAUCUCUCUUUUUUUAUAAAGUUUUCCCUGUUGGGUUGUUUUAGAAAUCAUUUUAAUCUGUCUAGUUCUAAAGCAGUUCCUUUCCAUUGUAGAUAACCUGAAAAAAAUAAAUCAUUCUAUGUAGUGUUUAGGCAGCUAAAGUGGACACAUUUCAUAUCUUUAAAAACUCAAAAUUAGUAGUUAUCCAAUGGUUAAAAAUAGAUAAAUACGAAGGAAGCUAUUCAUUCAUUUUAUUUAACUGUCAAAAUAUGUCAUUGUAUUUUUUAAGGUAGUAGUUUUGUGUCAGGCAAAGAGGAAAUAGAUGGUUAUGUUAAAAUAAAAAGUUUCCCUAAGCUGAUUUCUUUUAAUAUUAAAAAGUUCAAUAUGGAGAUAGGGAAAACAUUCUUUAAAGCCAGAAUUUCAGUGAGCAGUCCUUAAAUUCAUGUGGAUUCUGUAAUUUUCCAAACCCAUUUCUUCAGAUCUAGAAGUCAUUUCUGUACUCGAUAAAUGUACAGGUACAUGGUAAUUUGAUAAUCUCCUGUUUUCCUGUUCCCGGUUAGCUAAUGGAAUGACUAGAAGUUGAUUAAAAAGAAAAAUUAGAUAAGUUUUCUUCUUUUUGUCUAAAACUCUUCCUCCUGGCCUGUGAGCAUCUCCCGUAGGGCACACGUGCCAGCCCUUCAAGUGCCACGUAUCUGCCACACCAUAACCACGAGCCACCCACAUGUAAGCCACUUACCAUCCACACUGCUGUUGUCAUUUUAGAGCCCCACCCCCCCAGACUUCCUUGAAUUCUUGUCUUUUCCCAAGACAUUCUGUCUUCCUGGAAUUCUUUCCUUGCUUUACAUGGUCUCUUGCAUCUUGUCCUUUAAGGCCCAUUUCAAAUCCCCACCUCCCAGGGGAGCAUUUUCCAGGCUCCUUCUACUCCCAUAUGGUAGUAGCUCUCAUAGAAAUCUAUGUAUUCUUCGCCUAUUGUAUUUUCACUCCUUAGUAGUACGCUUACUCUCCUUCUCUGACUGGCCAUCUUUGAGAGCAGGGUCUCCAGCUUGUUCUUCUGUGCCCUGCUCUAGCCUGCUCUACCCUGCUCUAGCACCGGCCAGUCCCACCAUAGAUGUUCCGCACAUGAAAUGUAGAAGUGGGAGCAAAUACAUGGAGACCCAUGGAUGUGGGCCUGUACUGUGGACCUCUUCAAAUGUCAUGUAGCUACAGUGGCCUAUAUGCCAAAGCAUCAAAGGAAGCAAACCAGGUUAGGAUCAGAUUGGGAGGGCAUCCUAGACCAGGUUUGAUUCAGCAAGAAGUAGAGAACAACUUCUUUAACUGACCAUUUUCAGUGAGUUUUGUAUCUCAUGAUGUGCAUGUUGAAAAACAGAAUGAUUAGUUUGGCAGUGAUAUAAACGAUGACUGGGAGGGGGUGAGCAGGUUGGUCUCAGGAGUUAGAAGAGCAGUGUCAUAUUUUAGACGUUCUACUAUUUGGACUAGAUUUAUUUAUGCCUUCCUAUAUUUAUUAUUAUUAUUUUUUUUAACGUUUAUUUACUUUUGACAGAGAGAGAGAGAGAGAGAGAGAGAGAGAGAGAGCAUGAGUGGGGGAGGGGCAGAGAGAGAGGGAGACACAGAAUCUGAAGCAGGCUCCAGGCUCCGAGCUGUCAGCACAGAGCCCGACGCGGGGCUCGAACUCACAGCGUGCGAGAUCGUGACCUGAGCCGAAGUUGGGCACUCAACCUACUAAGCCACCCAGACACCCCAGUGCCUUCCUAUAUUUAAAAGUAGAAAGAAAAGUAUAAGAAAAGAAAAGUCACAAAAGGAAAGUAGGAAGAAUUGAUAUUCCAAAGAGCAAAAAAAUGGGAUCAGAUUGAAAAGUAA